rnacentral:lncRNA from 1 species
AUCUAAUCUAUACUACCUGAGCCCCUAGAUUUAUGACAUGCAUAUAAUUUAAAAAAUAAAAGAAAAAAUAUUGAGAUCGAAUCUCAAUACCUUUACACGAAUCGAUCUACAUCGCAGUCGAUGAUCGUAGAUCUGAAUGGAUUCCUUUAGCCGCACACACACUUGGCCUCCACAGGUAUCCACACGAGCACUUGUUCCGACCAGAGGUAGGUGCCUUCAUCGGGGUGCUAGCUUCCUUGCAGAAGAUUUCUCUUUGAUGGCUCAGGUUGUUCUCUCACAGAUCUCACAGACUCUCUUGAGAACUAGGAAGAAUGAAAGGAGAAACAAAGAGGGCUAGUUUUUUCUUAUUUUUCUCUUUUUUCUUACUUGAGGCAUCCAAGUAUUGGACCCUUUUAUAAGAGGGGCUAGGGA